rfam:Ascaris lumbricoides genome assembly, scaffold: ALTE_scaffold0000410
GGGUCGGUGGUUCAGUGGUAGAAUUCUCGCCUGCCACGCGGGCGGCCCGGGUCCGAUUCCCGGCCGACGCA